rnacentral:lncRNA from 1 species
CAAGGCAGCUGGUCUCAGUCAAACUGCAGCAACGCUGGGCAUGCAGCUCAACAUCCUCUGAGACUCUGUCCUCAUUUUGCGAAAUUAGGGACAACCAGACCUAUCUUCCUGUCCUAUCAUAAGAAUUAAAGAAGACAUGGGAGUAUUCCGUAUACACUGGACUGGCAUUCUAGCUCAUCCUGGGUCUUUCUUUGUCUGGUUGGCUGCAUUUGGAAGGACCUUGCUGAACUUGACCUCUGGUUAUGCUCUGAAACUGUUCUCUUAAAAAGCUACCAUGGAGUGGUCCUGCCAGCCCUGGCAAUGUCUCACCACCUGUGCAUCAGUGCCAGCCAAGUUGGAAGAUAGGAUGGAUGCCUGCACACUUAAAUUUUUAAUUGUUGACAUCUCUAAGUCUGGAAGUAAUUUUGUCAAUAAUGUAUUAGAGUUACAUAGCUAGAUUAUUCUACAGUAAGUUUAUGGGGUAUACUCAGUUUAUUUCAUUCAAUAAAUUGUAUAAUAAACACAGAUCCAGAAAUGGUGUUGAGUGAUGAGAUUAUAUUGAUGAAAAGACACAGUGAUUGCCUUCAAAGAGAUCAUAUUCCGGUAUGACAAUAUUUAAGAAUUGUAAUAUAUUGUGUUAAGUUUCAUAAUAGGAGUUUGCAGUUUUUGUCACCUUCUCACCUUUCUCACUUGCCUCAGAUAAGAGACAAAUCAUAGUCUCCAGUAGAUUCGCUAUAUUUGUUAUAAUUGAUUAGAAGACUUGAUAAUGAGAGAAGUCCAAACAUGCUACUUUUCAUGAGCUUUGUUUUUCUAAUUAAACAUGCAUCAUACUAUAUCAAUGACUAAAACAGCAAUUUUUAAUAUUUGUUCAGAGGCCGGGCACAGUGGCACAUGCCUGUAGGCCCGGCACUUUGGGAAGCUGAGGUGGGCAGAUUGCAUGAACCCAGGAGUUAGAGUCCAGCGUGGGCAACAUGGCAAGACCCCAUCUCUACAAAAAUACAAAAAUUAGCUGGGUGCAGUGGCUUGGGCCUAUAUCCCAGCUACUUGGAAGGCUAAGAUAGGAGGAUACUCUGAGCUAGGGAGGUCGAGG